rnacentral:rRNA from 1 species
UACGUAGGGGGCGAGCGUUGUCCGGAAUCAUUGGGCGUAAAGAGCGUGUAGGCGGCUUGGCAAGUCUGACGUGAAAGCCCGCGGCUCAACCGCGGAUUGUCGUUGGAAACUGCCUCGCUAGAGUCCGGAAGAGGGGAGCGGAAUUCCUGGUGUAGCGGUGGAAUGCGCAGAUAUCAGGAAGAACACCCGUGGCGAAGGCGGCUCUCUGGGACGGUACUGACGCUGAGACGCGAAAGCGUGGGGAGCGAACAGG